GCGCCUUUGGCAUAGUGGCCGUGCACUAGCCUUCCAAGCUAGCAACGUGGGUUCAAUUCCCGCAAGGCGCUCCA
rnacentral:tRNA from 1 species